rfam:Triticum aestivum genome assembly, contig: Triticum_aestivum_CS42_TGACv1_scaffold_405668_5BL
AAAACUAGCCAGUCUUUUUGGUAUGAAACCCAUUUGGGCGAGAGUAGUACUAGGAUGGGUGACCUCCUGGGAAGUCCUUGUGAAAGGGUUUC